rnacentral:rRNA from 1 species
GGACGAACGCUGGCGGCGUGCCUAAUACAUGCAAGUCGAACGGUCUUUCUAUGGAAGCUUGCUUCCACUGAGAAGAUAGUGGCGAACGGGUGAGUAACACGUGGGUAACCUGCCCAUAAGAGGGGGAUAACAUCCGGAAACGGGUGCUAAUACCGCAUAGUUUUCUUGAUCGCAUGAUCGGGAAAGGAAAGACGGCCUUUGUGCUGUCGCUUAUGGAUGGACCCGCGGCGUAUUAGUUAGUUGGUGAGGUAACGGCUCACCAAGACGAUGAUACGUAGCCGACCUGAGAGGGUGAUCGGCCACAUUGGGACUGAGACACGGCCCAAACUCCUACGGGAGGCAGCAGUAGGGAAUCUUCCGCAAUGGACGAAAGUCUGACGGAGCAACGCCGCGUGAGUGAAAGAAGGUUUUCGGGUCGUAAAACUCUGUUGUCAGAGAAGAACAAGUUGGAGAGUAACUGCUCCAGCCUUGACGGUAUCUGACCGGAAAGCCACGGCUAACUACGUGCCAGCAGCCGC